GUGGGGAAUCUUGCGCAAUGGGCGAAAGCCUGACGCAGCCAUGCCGCGUGAAUGAUGAAGGUCUUAGGAUUGUAAAAUUCUUUCACCGGGGACGAUAAUGACGGUACCCGGAGAAGAAGCUCCGGCUAACUUCGUGCCAGCAGCCGCGGUAAUACGAAGGGGGCUAGCGUUGCUCGGAAUUACUGGGCGUAAAGGGCGCGUAGGCGGACAGCUUAGUCAGAGGUGAAAGCCCAGGGCUCAACCUUGGAAUUGCCUUUGAUACUGGCUGUCUUGAGUUUGGGAGAGGGGAGUGGAACUCCGAGUGUAGAGGUGAAAUUCGUAGAUAUUCGGAAGAACACCAGUGGCGAAGGCGACUCACUGGCCCAAUACUGACGCUGAGGCGCGAAAGCGUGGGGAGCAAACAGGAUUAGAUACCCCUGUAGUCC
rnacentral:rRNA from 1 species